UGACUUCCAUGAGACUAUAUCAGAUGGAAGGGCUCCAGUGAGUUGGUUCCUAUCAAGCAGAAGAAUAGCGAGAAGAGGAAGAGUAGUUAACUCUUGAGGGAUUGUGCCAGAAAAUAAGUUAUUACUGGCAUUAAAAAACAUGACAUUCCUCCAAGAAGCACCAAUGGGGAUUUUACCAGAAAAUCUGUUGUUACUGAUCUCUAGCCAUCUAAGAUUCCUUGACACUCCAUUAGGAAGCUCGCCCGUGAACAAAUUAUCGCUUAGCAUCAGAUAUUCCAAAUUCAAUGCUGUCCAUAAACCAACAGGAAUAUUGCCAGUAAAUGCAUUACGUGAGAUCCACAACGUCUGCAAACUACUACAAUUCCCAAGUGAUUCUGGCAACUCUCCGUUGAAAUUGUUAUCGCAGGCUGCCACUCCUACUAAAUUUCCUCCAUUG
rnacentral:misc_RNA from 1 species